rnacentral:lncRNA from 1 species
CUUAAUUAUUAUUCUAAAAUCAUAGGGCUGGGGAUGUUGCCUAGCAUGUUCAAGUCUCUGUUUGAUCCCCAGCACUACAAUAACUAAAGUUCAUUCUGUUAAAGUAAAAACAGAGUAGAGCCUCUACAAGCUACAUUUUGUGUUUAUUUAAACUAUAAGAAACUUAACUUGAGUGAGCUAGAAUUAGCCCAAGAAAAUGUGUCUUUAAACUCAGGAAAUAUAAAAACAAUUUUGUAGAUGUGUCUAGACAUAGAUUGCUCUGAAGAUUUGUCUGUAAAUCAAGAAGAUGACAUUGACCCAAUAAUGUCACUUAAUGCAGUCAUCUUUGUUUUUACUACAUUGUGUUUCCAGGAGGAAUUUAAGCCUGAUAUAGGUGGCCUAUUGCAUCCUGAUGCAUUUAGAAUCUAGUCACAAAUGUUAAGCUUUAUGUAAGAAGUGAGCAGGAAAUGUGAUAAAGGUAUUGUGAAUUAUGAAAGCUCUAGUCCUAACAAUUUUGUAGUUUUCAAAUACAGCUUGAGGAGAAUCUUUCCAAAUUGAAAAAUCAUUAAAUACAAUAACAUAAAUAGGGAUUGGUUAUGGUUUGGAUGUAAAAUGUUCCCUAAAGACCCAUAGGCUAAAGGCUUUGUCACCAACUUAUUGUGCUAUUGGGAGUUGCUUAAACCUUUAGGAAGUAGAGCCUGGUAGAAGGAAGUUAGGUUAUUGAGAGCAUGCACUUGAAGAGGAUAUUGAGAUCCUAACCCCUUUCCCUCUCUCUCUUUGCUUUUUGAUCAUCAUGAGGUGAGAAGCUUUGAUCCAGCAUGUCUUCUCCUCCAUAAUGUUCUGCCCUGCCACAAGCCCAAAGCAAUGGGGUGAAAGGACCAUGCUCUAAAAUCUUUGAAACUGCAAGGCACAAUAAAAUUUUCUUCCUUUAUUUGUGUUACUGAGGAUUGCACCCAUGCCCUCACAAAUGAUAGACAAGCACUUCUACCACUGACAUACAUCCCCCGAACCCCUCUCCUUUCAAAUUUUGAGAUAGGAUCUUGCUAAGUUGCCCAUGCUGGCCUUGAACUUGUGAUUUUCUUGCUUCAGCAUUUCAAGUAGCUGGUAUUACAGGCAUGCAUCACUGUGUCUGGCUUUCCACCUUAUAAGUUGGUUAUCUCAGGUAUUUUUUUUUCAAGUAAUGGAAAGCUGACUAACACAGGGUGUUCCCCAAAAUGAGAGAUGUUAAAAAGCCAUUUAAGGAAAAGCUAUAACUUGAAACUACCUGAAGAUGCCCAAGGCCCAAGAUUCUGGUUCAGUAAGCUGAAGGGAUGAAAGGAACAAAUCUGGAGAGAGAGAGAAUAUCAAGUAGGAUAAUGAGUUUCCUUGGUAUCCCCUAAGCAGCACUGCCAUCUGGUGGUGAUUUAAUAAAUCACAUUCUUCUUCCUCCCCGAUCCUGUCCUAAGGUGUGGCCUAGCACUCCAGAAUAUACUGAGAAAGCCAGGUGAAACAUUAUUAGUUUUUUGUGGCUACCUUAACAAAUUACUACAAACAUGGAGACUUAAAGCAACAGAAAUUUAUUAUCUUACAGUUCUAAAGACCAGAAGUACAAAAUUAAGGUGUUGGCAGGUCUGUGUGGCCUUUGGAGGGUCCAAGGGAGGAACUGUGCCUUGCCUAAUCCAGCUUUGGGUGGCUGCUGACAUUUCUAAGCUUGUGGCCAGAUGACUCCAAUCUCUGCCACCAUCUUCAUAUGGCCUUCUUAUCUUCUGUGUGUCCAAUAUUCAUCCUUCUCCUCCUUCUCUCUCUCUCUCUCUCUCUCUCUCUCUCUCUCUCUCUCUCUCUCGUACCAGGGAUUGAACUCAAGAACACUUAACCACUGAACCACAUUCCCAGACCUUUUUUUCAUGCUUUAUUUAGAGACAGGGUCUUGCUGAGUUGCUUAGGGCCUCACUAAGUUGCUGAGGCUGGCUUUGAAUUUGUGAUCCUCCUGCCUCAGCCUCCUGAGCUGCUGGAUUUUCUCUUACAAGGACACUAGUUUUGGUGAUAAUGGAGAUAAGAAGGAAAAGAAAAAAAUGGGAGAAAGCACUCUCAAGUAAGACAGUGGGUCCUCUCAGAGAGGAGAGCAAAGACUCACUUAUUCAUGUCCCCAUUUUUAUUGGGUUAAGAGGGAGAGUGUUAGAAAGUCCUGCCCAAGUAUCACCUCUUGGCUCUGAUUUGACAGACUACAUUAGCUAAAAACCUAAGGGCUACUCUUAGUUAUCUUGGCCUUGCUGACAGGUCCCAGUUGGAACUGGUUUCACAGAAUUUAUGGUUCAUGGGCUCCAGUCUUAAUCAUCUUGUUUACCUAGGUCUGAGAAUCUCUUGUCUGUUGCUUGUAUAGAGUCUUGCUUAAGAUGUUUUAGCAAUUAGGCCUUUUUUGAGCAAAUGUAUCUUUGCCCUUUGGUUCUUACCUUCUGAAUUUAUCUAUCUUCCUUCUGUUGUAAGAGGAGUAGUUUAUAGGGCUGAGAUCAGGCAAGGGUGCCGCAGUCUGGCUGGGCAUAAUUCAGGAGGCACUUGUCAAAAGAAGCAAACUUUAUUUUUAGAACACACACACCACACCACACAGCUCCUCAGGAAAAACCUUCAGAGCCCAACUGCCACCACCGGCUUCCCACAAGCCUCUCAACCUCCCCCACUCCUCCUGCUCUUGAGGCCGAUUGGCUGGGUCGCGUGGGCGGAGCCAAAAAAGUCCCCCAAUGAGCAGCUCUGUGGUCUGAAAGGGCAGGGAAACAGCCCAAUGAGCAUCACCGCAGAGGAGCCAAUCAGUUGGCAGCUAGAAGUUUGCUGGGGCCGCUGUGAGCCAAUCAUCAGCUGGCAGCUGGAAGUUUGCUGGCAGCUGGAGGUUUGCUGGGGCCCCUUUUGGCUGUGGCUCUCAACAUCAGGGUCCUGAAAUAGCUAUUUUAUCAGACCUCAUGGUGCCACUGAGGCAGGGCUGUUCUUUAACUGAUUUGUUCUGUCUGUGCUAAGUGUUUUCUUAAACUCCUCUUUGCUACCUAACCAUCUGUUAUGGUUUGGAUCUGGGAUAUCCUUCAAAGUUUCAUGUAUUCAGAGGUGGGGCAUUUGGGAAGUGAUUGGACGAUGAAAGCUCUGACCUCAUCAGUGUAUUAAUCCAUGGAUGGCUGAAUGGACUAGUGGGAGGUCUGUAGACCACCACCCCUUCCUGGAUGGCAUUUGUGCCUGACUCACCUCAGGCCCAGAGUAAUAGAAUUGGCUGACCAUGGACUGGGUCCUCCGAAAAUGUGAGCACAAAUAAACUUUUCUUCCUCCUUUAUGUCAGGUUAUUUUGUCAGGUAUUUUGGUCACAGUGACACAAACCUGACUAAUAUAGUCUAUUCAGAAAAUUCAGAUUUUUGACUGUGAUAAGAUACUUAAUCAACAUUUGCAAAGAUCCUUUUUCCAAAGAGGGUGAUAUUCAUUAGUACCAGAAAUUUGAUGUAGAUAUCUUCUGGGACCUAUUAUUCUCUCUGUUCUUUAUUAUCCUUUAAUUGUUGGUCAUUAGCAUUUGAUUGGAUUGCCAACCAGUGUAGACUGAAUGGAUAGGAUACAGGAUGUUGAGUUUUGAAACUGGGUGUGAGAGUGUGAUAGGGAAGGAAAGUCUACAGAGUAUCAACUUUUUUUAGGGAUGGCUGGUUAGGGUGGGGUAGUACAGUAGGAGACCCUGGGAAGUCAUGAGGCAACACAGAGGACCCUGGGGACAUGGAGGGGAGGAGAGGAAAGGGCAAGAAAGAGGUGGGAAGCCAAGAUAAACUUUUGCCUAUUUAAAAAACUAAAUGUGAAUGCUCUUCAACCUCAAAACCCUUUAUGAAAAUAAGAAAAUAAGGAAAUGUGCACUCUCAAACAUUCCUAGCAAGACUGGGAGUUGAGAGUGCACAAUUAUAUAUGAAGAACAAUUCUUCAUAUAUAUCAUACACUUGUAUUCAGUAAUUCUACCUCUGGAAAUCUAUUUUUAAGGAAUAAUUCAAAUACAGAAAGUUUCA